ensembl:lncRNA
CAGUCAUCUGCCAGAUUGCUGUUUUAUGCCAAAGGCUCAAAGUUGGAUUACAGAUGACCAGAGAAACCUCGCAAAGUAGUUUUUAUCACAGGCUAAACUGAUGUUAUGAAGUGGUAACAAGGGAAGCAUGGGGACAUCAGUCAGGAACUGUUACUACCGUCAGCUUGUGUGGAGGAGUGGGGGAGAGCUGGAGGUGAAACUGUGCAAAUGUUUCAAUGAAGAAAAUGAAGUAGACCACAGGCAGCAAAAACCUGAAUUCUCAUGGCAAACGUCUGGACAAGAAUACAGAUGAGUUUGGAUCCAGAGAUGAAACUUUCAUGGAGGAAGAACUUUCAAAUGAGUGUGGAAAGCUACUAGAUCAGCCAGAAAAACUCAAGCUUCUGGACUGUGUUUUUCCUUGGCAUAGCUUGGCAUAGCACAGCAAUUCAGGAAUGAUCCAUAUUGUGCAAAUACAACCUCAGUUUAUUACUGACGCAUGGUCAGUAUGAGAAGCAAUGGAGACACAAAAAAUAAUAUGAAAUCUCAGGGUUAAAGAGCUUAUCUCCUAGAAGAAAAAGCACCA